GGAUUUUCAGUCAUAACUUACGCUUUCGACCAUGCUAUAUUAUUUUUUGUGAUUUGUGAUUUAGAUAUCAUUUUUUAAUUUGAUAAAUUUUAUUUGAGAAUAAGUUCAACACAUGAAAGCUGGACUUAGAAGUUCUAUUUUUUUACAAUAAUGCUAUAAAUAAUAAAAAAAUAUUAAAAAUUUACUAAAUAGAUAUAUGAUUCAACCAUAUGUAUUGUAGAUGAAAUAAAAAAAUACAUUAUUAGGUCUUAAUACAUGUGACAGUGUCAAGGGUCGAUUUAGCAUUUUUUUUUAGCAUUUAUAAUAUUUUUCUUAUGUUGUUAAUGGUAUUCGGUGGGAAUGGAGAAAAUGGGACCAUGACACCCUGUUUGGCGUCCGGAGAUGGACCGCGGAUUUGCCAUUUCCCGAAAUUUUUCUCACCCUUCCCAUCUCCCGGGUUUGGCGCCCCCAUUUGGCUCUCCUUGAUUUUACUCUCGGUCGGAUCCAAAUCCAGCCAAAGCCGGAGAUGGGACGGACAGGGGUACCCCAGUCGUGGUCACGCGGCCUCCGCGUGGGGUGAAAAUACUAUUUGCCUAUGCUGGGGGAAGGAGCUGCCGUGAGAGAUGGUCCGGUCAACUCUCUCUCUCGCGCGAACAAGAAAAUUUGGGGAGACGAAGAAUAACCAGGGAUUUUAUAUUUUUGAAUUUGGGUAAUUACACUGACCUCCCCUGAGGUUAUAGUUAAUAUACAAGAAAACCUUAACAUUUAAAAACUAUAAUUAACCUCAUUCCCUCAAUUGAACCAAAAAAAAAAUAUUUUUAAUUAUAUAUUAAUAUUUAAAUUUCUUCUUAUUUGAUGUUGAAUUUUAUUUUUUAUUUUAUUUGAAUUCACUGAAAUCGGGUACUAAAAUAUCGUGUACCAAUUUUUUUGUGGAGUCGACUGAAUUUUUUUGGUAAAAUUUAAAUUAUUUUAAUACAUUUUCUUGGUUUAUAAUUUAUAAUUCUAAAUUAUAGAGAAAUACUAAGAUACCGAAUGGGGGUGCCACAAUUUGAAUUUCUGCUUAAUAUAUUAUUAUAUAAUUAAUUUAAAAUAAUUUAAUCAAAAUAAAAUUGAAUGAUCUAUCUUUUAAAUUGUAAUUUAUUUUAAUUUCUUUUCCGAGUGCUAUUUUGAGUGGUAGUUUUGUAAAUUUAGCACCCAUGAUUGCAUUCGAAGAAAUUCUAGAUUAAUCUGGCAAUAAUUGAAAGUUCGCUCACCUACCCCCCGCAAGCGGGCAGCGAGGGCUACUAAUUAAACGUUCGCUAGUCGCCGCACCGCGAGCGAAUUAAGUGAGUCUGUGGACAACGGAAUACACGUUUUCAACUUUGUUAUAAAAGAAAACAGACUUCUUUAACUUACAGCACCAUUUCUAAAAACAAAGUAAUGAUUUUGUCCUAAAGAACAUAUUACAUCAUCUAUUAAUAAUUGACAAAUAUGUCUAGCAUUCCUGAACUAAAAAUAAUAUUCUUUUAAAUGUAUUAUUUUAAGAAUAUUAUUGUCCUUGCAAAUUUUUUGCUUUAUAUCGAAAUUUGUGCAAAUUUAACAAAAAAAUUAGAAAGCUUAAUUUUACCACUUGUUUCUUUAUUAUUUUCCUAUAAAUUUAUUUAAAACUAAUUUUUUUUUCUUUUUUUUUCUUUUUAGGCUUCAUUUUACGAACACCCACUAACUUUAUUUUUUAUUAUUUUUUGAUUUAUCCCUUCAUCUAAAAAGUGAAUCAUAUUGACUCAUUUAACUAUUUAAUUAUAUCACUUAUACCCCUUCCAUUACUAAUCUGUUUUAAAAAGUAAUAAAAAUCAAUUACAUGUUGUCCAUGUAUUUAAAUUAAAUGCAUAUAUCUAAAAUACUAUUAUUUUUUUAUAAAAAAUAAUCAAACCAUAUACAUUUUAUCAGCCAUUAUGAGAACAAACUUAACUCUUAUUAAUAAGCAUUUAAAUAGAGCGUUGACUUAAUUUUUAUUAAAAAUAAAAAUAUUUAGGCAAAGCAUUUAAUUUAAGCAUAAAACAUGACAAUACACAAUCGAUUUUUAAUCAAUAUUUAAUCAGAUUAGUAAUAAAAGGGUAUAAUGAUGUAAUUAAAUAGUUAAGGGCCAAUAUGAUCACUUUUUAGAUGAAUGAUAAAUUGAUAAAAGACGAUAGUUUGGUGAUGUUUUAUGAAUUAAGCCUUCUUUUUUAUUUUAUUUCCUAGCAAAUCAAACGAAAAGAAACUACUACUUUUCUUUGGUUUGGUUGUUAUUUUUUAGUAUCACUUUUUUUAAUUUUCUUUAAAAAAUUUUAUUUGGUUACAGAUUUUAGAAGUUUUUUCUGGAAUUACGUCGGAAAAAAACAUAUUUGGAGAAAAAAAAAAUAAAGAUACAACUCGAUUACUAGAAAAUUUGUUUUUGUCUAGUUAGAAAAAUGAAUAAUCUAUGAAAUUGUUAAAAUAUUUUUAUGUUCAAAAACGUUUUUUUAAAAAAUUUAUAAAUCCCAAAUUAUUAUAAAAAAUUGAACCAAAUAUCUAUAAUUCUCUGUUUCUUUCUCUUUGCAUGAGUUCCAAACAAAGCCUACGGGUGGAUCGUUGACUGGGCCAGUGUUCGCAUAUUUAUGACCUCGUCCCACCAUCUCAGUUUAAUAAAGGAUAACUUCCUUCACACCCCUGAGGUUUUUCAAUAUUGCACUGACCUCCCUGUAGUUUUCAACAUGGCAAUGACCUCCCUGUAGAGCAAAAUGACCAUUAUGCCCCAGCCCCUAGCCCCCCCACCCCACCCCACCCCACCCCACCCACCCCACCCCCACCCCACCCCCGCAAUUUUUUUUUAUUUUUUUUAGUUUUUCUUUUAAUUAUUUUUAAUUUCUUUUUAAUCUAAGUUAUUUUUUUUAUCAGUGUUUUUUUUGGAUAAAUAUUUUUUUUAUUAUAUGUUGUUUUUUUUAGUUUUUUUAAUUAAUUAAUUUUAAUAAGAAAUAAAUUUAAAAUUAAAAUUAAAAUUAAUAGAGAAUACAAAUUUAAGUUUACAAUAACCUGAUCAUUAUAUUUAAAAUUGUAGCAGACUUUUUUAGUUGUAUAAUUACAUUAUAAAAUACUUAAAAAUUCAUUUAAUUAAAGGCCAAUGUGGACUACUUACUUUUUUAAAAAUUAAGUAUUUUAAUUUCUGAGUUUUUUUAAAUUUGUAGAUAAUCAUUUUAGUGGGCAAUUUUAGCGAAAUAUCUAAAAUUUAUCAAGUUUUCCGCAUCUAUUACGAACUUUUUGAUAUCUGAUUGUCAUAUUAUUUGAAAGUUCAAAUCUACUGACCAGAUUAGCCUCAUCACUUGGGCAUUAUCAAAUUGUUGAUGAAACGAAAAAAAAACUCAAAACGCAAAUAAUUAGAAUUUUUUUAAAAAAUAGGACAAAUUGACUUUAUUAUGAGUUUUAAGACAUUUUAUAUUUAUACAUACCACUAAAAAGUUUGUACAAUUUUUUAAUUAUAAUGAUCAGAUUAUUUGUGACUUAAUUUGUUUCUUUUUCUAUUUUUAUGUUAUUUAUUUUUAUUAAAAUUAUUAAUAAAAACCAAUAAAAAAACCAAACUAGAAUAAAAAAAUAUUUAUCCAAAAAAAUUGAUAACAAAAUAAAUUAGAUUAAAAAAGUAAUAAAAAUUUAAAAUAAAAACUAAAAAAAAAUAAAAUCAGGGGUGCGUGGGGUGGGGGUGGGGCUGGGUGGGCGGGGUCAGGGGCAUAAUGGUCAUUUUUUCUCGGUACAGGGGAGGUCAUUGCCAUUUUUGAACUACAGGGAUGUCAGUGCAAUUAUGGAAAACUCCGGGGUGUGAAUGAAAUUUAAUCCCUUUAAUACACCAGUGUGGUCCAGUGCCCAGGACUUUGUCGGCCAGUCCGAACGUGGCUCAAUCCCCAAUUUCCAUUUGCCAAACAUAUCUCAGAGUAGUCCCAAUUCGAUAGUUUUUUUUAAAUAAAUUUGUUAGCUAUUUUCGGUCUCAAUUUUUGUUCGUAGACCUCGUAGUGAACUUUUUCAGUUAUUUAAUUAAAUUUUUAAAUUUUUUAAUUUUUUCUCAACACGUUGAGCUUGAAAAAAAUAUAUAUUUUUUCAUUUAAAUACUAAAUGUUUUACUAAAAACAAAAACUUGUUUUUACUGAUAAUACAUAAAAUAAAAUUUAGGCUUAUUUUUUUUUUUUUAAUGAUUUUUUUUCCAAAAUUCUAACAAAAAUUUAACAUAAUUAGAUGCUUUGUCAGAGAAAUUGAAAAAUAUAUACAUACAACUUGAAAAUCAAUGCAGUGCUACAAACAAGAGUAUUAUUAGUGCUAAAACUAGGUUCUGUUUAUUAAUACUUCAAAACCAAGGUUUUUUUAACUUGCUAUCAAAAAAGCUAAUAUUUUUAAGGUUUUUGCUUUUGUAUUUUCACUAUAGCUACAACUAAGCAAUCAGCAAAAAUAGAAAAGCAAAAAGCCAACUCUGAUUUACUUUUUUCUUAUUUUCGGCAAAAAAGUCUAAAAAACUGAAAAACUGGUGCCAAACCAGAGCCUAAGUCAAAAUUGGGUCUAUUUUUGUACUACCCUGUCUCAAUUGUAAAUUCAAUUUUCCUAAAAUUCCUACGAAAACUAACAAUAUUCUGGAGUCCUACAUUUUUUAUCAUUUGUCAUUUUGAGCUGAUAAUUACUCCUUUUUUUUUUGUUUCGUUCAUCUUUUAAUUACCUUUUUAUAUGGAUUACAAAUCAUUGGAGAAAAUUGUUACAAAUACUCUCUUAUAACUUUUAAAACUGAAAAAAAAUUAAACUUAAAAAAUUACGACAAACAUUCUUAUACUGUGGAGUGAGACACAAACUUUUACUGAAAAAAAAUGCUAAGCCCUGCCAAAUGACCGGGGAUAGUUAGCAUGACCCUUCACUAUCCUAUAUCAGCUCAAUAAUGAAUUGCUAGUCCGGACCAUUGAAUAACUUUUAGGUCUUUGAACCGUUAGAAAAGCAAGCCAACCCAAACACAGGUGAACAUGACAAUGAUUUGAUGCAAAAACUGUGUUUUGAUGCCAAAAUACGAUGGCCGGGAUUUUUUUUACCCAUUUUCCAAAGUGUUGAUAUGUGUGCGACCUAAGGCCAAUGGCAGUCAGUGCCCACAAGAGGAUGGGGGUGGGUUUGUUCUUACUAAGUGAGCAUGGAGGGUUUGGUUGUGAGAAUGGAGGAUGGUGAUGGUGAUGCUACUUUGGCUACAACAGCAAACACCACAAAGCGUACAAACAAACCACACAGCAUAUCCUCAAGGAUAAUGCCAUGUCAAAUGCGGAUUGAAAAAAAACAGAAGGAGAAUUUCCAACUUUGUGAGUGUGCCACCAUGUUUUGUAAUGGACAAGUCUCUCUCUCUCUCUCUCUCUAUAUAUAUAUAUAUAUAUCAAUAUAUAUUUGAGUUAGAUCUAAAAUCUAGAUUAAAAGUGGGUGGUUAUGGGAGCUUAUAAUCUAGUUUGAAUCAUUAUUUUGUAAAUUAUGUUGAGAAUAGUAUGUAUAAAAAGAUAAGAUAAUAGAUAUCAAUAGUAACAUAAUCAAAUUAAUAUUAUCUUUAAAAAAGUGGAAUAAUAUUUCCUAAAAAAUCGUAUUUUCAGGAUAAAAAAGAUGAAACCAUAUUCAAAUUAACCAGAAUUUGAAUAAAUAGUAUUUUAAGAUUCUACAAAAUGAAUGGUUCAGAUCAUGACCUAUUCUAGAGAUUAUACAGACGAUUGUUAAUGCACAUGAGAAAAAUAAAUAUUUAUAAAAUUAAAUAUUGUAAUAUGUAAUUGAAUUGAUAUGAUUGAUAUAUUUUUCACUUUCAUGCUUGAAAUUUCUCCUUAUUAUCACACCUGUUAAUUGACAAAAAAAAAAUGAUGUAUUAUACAUGAAAUAUUUAAAUUGUUGUGAAUUAGAGAUUGUUUCCUAAUUUGAGUAGGAAGUUGUGGAAUUGUUUUUUAGGAGAUUCUUUCCUAAUUGAUUAUGAAACGCCAUAAAUUUAUUUCCUUUGACAUUUUUUUAUUUAUUUUUCCUACUUAGAUAUUAUGUUGUAUUAUAUAUUGUGUAGGUUUUAAUACAAUUGAAGCUUUUCUUAUUUUGAUUGGUAUCAGAGCAUUUAAUCGAAUACAACCAGUGUAAUCGCGCACACACCUUGCCCAGCCAGCGCAGUUAGCCACCGUCGGUAAAACACUCACGCAACCCCACUCAGCGUAGUUGAACACACUACCAUCACGUAACCACCACUAGUGCCAUUCCAUACCCAGCGCAGUGCAACCAGCGCAUCCAGCCACUCCAGCGAAGUGCAGUCCAGAUACCCUCACAAAACAACACCACGUCUAAGCAGCCAGGCCCACCCCCCUGUGAGCCACCACAUCCAGCCAGUCCAGGCCGCCUCUAUCUGCCAGCCUAUUCUAUACAGCUCUGAGUCUCUUGUUGGCUUGUCGCUGUCUUGUGUUGGUGUUUCUUGAGGGACUUUGUGGAAUUUUCCCCACACUCGCGAAAUUGAAGUUUCUUCCUUGGAUCCUGUUCUUCUAUGAUUGAUGGUUUUAUCCUAGCGAAUAUUGUUUCUGAGUCUAGUUCAUGUUUUCAGAUUUGAUCAAUUAAAACCUAGCUCAAGAGUCACGAGCAUGUUGUUGAUGGAAAGAACUUUCAUGCUUGAUCUUGCUCUUUUCAACUCUACCUUAAUGUAAAGUGUUUAAGACCAGCUCGAUUCUGGAAAAGAACAGAAAGCUGGCUGAAUCCGAUCCAAGUUUGAUGAGUGAAAGGAGGAUAAAUGUAUCAUUUUGGACUGGGUUGUUUACUCUAUGGAGGAUAGAGGUGUCCAUAUGUUAUGUAUCAUGAUACCGGUAUAUGGUUAUGGAUUGCUUUGAAUAGAUGUAUGGUCAGCCUAUAAGGAGCCCUGAUCUUUGAAACUCUUUAUCUUAAAAACCUACCUUAGGGGGGGGGAACUUUCCGUUUGUUGAUAUUUUGGAUAUCUCCAGACUAGAUGGGAAGAAUUGACUCAGUACAAUCCCUUAGUGAUUUUCCUAGUGAUAAGGUUGUUGAGUCAAACAUAUGAUCGUCAACAUACAUUUCAGUGUUUUGAGGGUUUUUUAAAACCUGAGUUUGAGUCUCUUGAACUCAAAGGUAAUACAUCACUUUUUCCAUUCAGAUUACAAGGGUGUUUGAUAAUAUUGAUGGUGAUAAGCGGAGGUGCGCCUUCCUACCAUCAUUUCUCUACUGGAUACUCUUCUACUAUUUAAGAUUCCAAACAUCCUUGGUUGCUUCUUUUGGGACGCGCCCACAUUGUCAGCAUUUCGCAGGCCCAAUUCCUUUUGAUUGCUGUUUUGAUCUACAUCUUGAGUUGAAAUCACAGUUAAAUAGGAAUUAAGGUAGAAUUGGCGGGGUGGUUUACGGUGGUGGGUAGUGGCUGUGGAAUUCCUCGAGUUGGUUCUAUUGCAGAAGUAGAACAAUUGCAUCUGAGUUACUUGAUCUCAAUCAACUUUAGAGCCAAAUUGCUCAACUAUAGUCGAACUUGGGCUUGGCUCUCUCCUCUGGUCCCAUGGCCGUUAUAGCUGUAGGGACUCUUACCGCUCUUCAUGGUAAGUUAGGUCACUCCACUUGAAUUCUAGAUUUUGGGGCUAAUAAUCACAUGACUGGUGAACUUUUUAUCUUUACCUCUCCUGUUACUUCUGUGAAUAGUAUGUUUGAUGUUGAUGGAUUCCUCUUUCCAGUAUAAUCAGGUAUGUUUGCUGUCCUAAGAUAUUAGUUGUCUUGCAAAAACACCUUAAUUGUGAUGUUAUCUUCUACCAUCUCAUGUUUCUUGCAGGACCUAACUCGAAGAAGAUUUUUGGCAAGGGGUAGUCUCAUGAGCGUGAUGAACUAUAUUACUUUGGGGAUCCGUCCAAUAUCUAAUGCUUUGUCUUUAGUCUUCAAGUAGUCGUUCUACCACUCUUAGAGCCUCUGUUUUAAGUCGUCUAUUUAAACUUGUGUGUUUUUAUUUAACACUUAAAUCGAUGGCAUGCUUAUUUAGGGCAUGCCAAAUUUUUAGUAUUUGUUGCUUUUCCCAUCUGAAUCAAAGCAGCAAGAAAGUUAUUUUAAAUGGUCAUUUGUGAAUGUCUAAAACAUUACUCGCACCUUUUUUAUUUCCUCGAUGCGCAAUCGCUGCACCUAGUGCCUUGACCCUUAUUCGAUCAGAGAUGUCUAGGGACCGGUCUUCAGUUAAUGAUAUCUCUCAACAUCGUCAUUAUGUCACGUUUAUAGGUAACUACACCGUUGAUAUGGGUAUACCUGAUGCACCAUAAAUUUGAGGUCAUCUCCCACUUACCCACUUUCUAUAAAUGAUCAAAACUCAAUAUAAUACAUUUGUGCUCACUAUUCGGUCAAAUAAUGGUCGUGAGUAUAUCACGAAUGAGUUUUGGACUAAACUUAAUAAACAUGAUAUACUUCAAUAACACACUUAUCCUUACACCCCUAAGUAGAAUGGAUUUUUGGAGUAAAAAAAUAUGUCAAUUGAUGUCUAUUGGCUAGUGUUUCUUAAGAGGAUUGUGUGGUUUCUUAAUAUUUCUUUUAUAAGGUUUGUCCUCACUUCCACAUUCAUUAUUAAUCGCGACUCCUAGUCCUUCUAACGUCAAGGCACCACUCAAUAUCUUCAGCUUGCUAGUACCCCGUUAUUUUCUUUAUUCUCCCUCGUGUCUUUGGAUGUACAUUCUUUAAUUAGUUAAGAGCCCUUUUGUAACCAAACUGAUGAUAAAUGCUGCUUGUUGUGUUUUUCUUCUUGGUUAUCCCCUUCCUCGAUAUUCAAGAGGUAUCGGUGUUUAUGACUAUACUUGUCAUAUGUAGCACUCUUUGGAUGCCAUUUGUUUUGAACUGUUCAAAAAAGACAUUUUUCUCAAGUCUUCUGUCCUUUUUGGGCCCCUUCUUCUGACUAUUUGUGGAGGAGAUUCUAUACCUCCCUACCCACUUCCUCCUAUCUUGAGUCUCCUCCCUAUCACCUGUGGCUCUAUGCUCUAUUGUAACUAUCGAUAUCCAAGAUGUAUCGGUGUUAUGUGAUCCUUCACUCUGCAAUGUAUCACUCGUUAGAUGCCACCUUGUUUUUUUUUUUGAAACUAUUCCCUUUUUCUCAGGUCCUUCUGUCUUUUUUUUGGGCCUUGCUUCUGAACUAGUGUUGGAGGAGGAUUCUUACCUCCCAACCCCUUCCUAAUUCUUGAGUCCCUUCUUUCCUCCACUCUCACUCACUCCAGUGGCUCUAUGGUCCUCUAUUGUCACUACUGACCCUUUAAUAGGUUUUACCUUGAUUUUCCUGCGCUCCAGCUCCCCCCCUGCGCAUAUUCUCCGAAUUCAAGUGUCCUCCUUUUUUUUUUUCUAAUUUAUUUUUUUUUGAUAUCCCUCCUCCCUGUUAUCCCCCCACACGAGUUCAGCGUCUCUCUCUCUCCAUUUUUCUUCUUUUUAAAUAUACUAAUCCAUCUAUUGUGGUAGUAUUUGUCUUUACCAAAGUCUUUUAGAGUAGACUCCGUUUUCAUUCUUUUUUUUUUAGUCAGGUGACUCGAUCUUGAUCCUCCGCUUUGGUCAAUGAAACUCUUAGUAUCCUUGUGGGUGUCUAUAAUGAAGGUCAGAUGGAUGAUAUUCAUCAACAAUUGGACAUGUGAUCUUGUUACUUUGCCAAAAGGGGAGCGCCUGUUGAUUGUAAAUGAGUAUUCAGUGUGAAGUAUUGGCGGAUGGUUCGAUUGAUAUAUACAAAGCUCCCCCUUGUGGCUAAAAGAUUUACUCAGAUUGUACGCAAAGAUUUGGGUGUCAUUUUUGUCCUUUUGGCCAAAUUAAAAACACCAUUACCUUCUAUAGCUUCCCUCACUGCUUCUUCCUUUUGGUGGCAUCUUUACCAUUGGAAUGUCAAACUGUCUUCCUUAAUGGUGCCCCUUUCUGAGACUAUAGAUAUGAAUAGGCCCCAAUUUACAAGCUCAAGGGGAGUAUUCGGAGAACGUAUGUUUGGCCUUCCGAAAAUCUAUCUAUAAGCUUAAGAGUCUCCUCAUCUUGUCAUGGGUUUGUUUAGUGACACUCAUAUCAUAAAGUGCUU
rnacentral:lncRNA from 1 species